rnacentral:rRNA from 1 species
UACGAAGGGGGCUAGCGUUGUUCGGAAUUACUGGGCGUAAAGCGCACGUAGGCGGAUACUUAAGUCAGGGGUGAAAUCCCGGGGCUCAACCCCGGAACUGCCUUUGAUACUGGGUAUCUCGAGUCCGGAAGAGGUGAGUGGAAUUCCGAGUGUAGAGGUGAAAUUCGUAGAUAUUCGGAGGAACACCAGUGGCGAAGGCGGCUCACUGGUCCGGUACUGACGCUGAGGAGCGAAAGCGUGGGGAGCAACAGG